rnacentral:rRNA from 1 species
UGGGGAAUAUUGGACAAUGGGGGGAACCCUGAUCCAGCGACGCCGCGUGAGUGAAGAAGUAUUUCGGUAUGUAAAGCUCUAUCAGCAGGGAAGAAAAUGACGGUACCUGACUAAGAAGCCCCGGCUAACUACGUGCCAGCAGCCGCGGUAAUACGUAGGGGGCAAGCGUUAUCCGGAUUUACUGGGUGUAAAGGGAGCGUAGACGGUGCAGCAAGUCUGAUGUGAAAGAUCGGGGCCCAACCCCGGGCGUGCAUUGGAAACUGUUGAACUGGAGUACAGGAGAGGUAAGCGGAAUUCCUAGUGUAGCGGUGAAAUGCGUAGAUAUUAGGAGGAACACCAGUGGCGAAGGCGGCUUACUGGACUGUAACUGACGUUGAGGCUCGAAAGCGUGGGGAGCAAACAGG